GGCAAUGUGGCGGAAUGGUUACGCAGAGGAUUGCAAAUCCUUGUAUCCCGGUUCGAUUCCGGGCGUUGCCUCCA
rnacentral:tRNA from 1 species